UAACUCGCCAAAUUUUGCUUCAGCAUCAGGAGUAGUCAUGACUCGCAACAACCGUUCAGCUUCUUCAAGUACUUCAUAAACAUACGACUCUGCAAAUCCAGACCGGCGCAUACGAUUGACUAUAGCACAUAAAAAUACUUUCUGCAUGAAUGAGAGAUUUCGUAAUACUUUUUGAAGCGGUGAAGCUGUCAUUUCGGAAAUUGCUUGAUGAAUUAAUCCAGGUGUAACUUUGCCGUUUUUGUUUUCAGCAAGCUCUGACGCACGACGACAUAUAUCAAGGGCUCUUCUAGCAUCACCGCUAACCGCAGCUACUUUUCGAGCUGCAAACCGAAUUGCAUCUGAAGAAAAAACAUCGUCAUCCCGAACAGCCUCCAAACGGGCAGCGAUUAUUAUUUCUAGCUGAGUAUGCGUAUAAGGCUCAAACGGAACUCUGGACAAACCUAAACGUGAUGAAAUGCGAUUUGAUAAAAUACGUUCAGGUAAGUCCAUCGUAUUAGCAACUGCAACAACGAUUAACCGUGAAUGUGGUAGAGACGGCCAAUUGAAAAAAUUGUAUAAAACUUUUUGAUUAUGGGUGACUAGUUGAUCGAGCUCAUCCAUAAGAACAACACAACUACUGCGGUUUGGAGAAGCAUGAGUAAAUCGGUUAUCAAGAAGGUCCAUUGCAUGGAUUGGAGUAACUCUUUCACCCGUCAAAGAUUCCCAGAGAAUAGAAUAUGCCUGGUUUGCACUGGUUACACGCAUUCCAUUAAUUUCGCAGAAUGAAAAUUCAGGAAGUUGUCCUUCUCGAGAUAAUUCCUGAAGAUUCCAAAUUACUUCGUGAACAGUAGCAGUUUUUCCUGUUCCCGGCGUACCAGAUAUAUAGAGACAAGCCCCUGUCUCUUCUUCAAUGGCACUUUCUAAGUUCGAAAAUAUGGUAGAAAAUUCGUUAUCGCGACAUUGUAAUGUGCUUGGAACUGAAGCAACAUGAAGCAUAGCCCUAGCUUUUCUAUGAGGAGAACCCUGAAACUCCUCAAGGGACAGCAUACGAAUAGGUAGCGGAGUAAUUUGUAAUGGUUGUUUGUAGCCACUAAAUCAACGUUAGUAUACGAAAAAAAAACUUAGAAUAUAAAAUAACUUACUUUCUUUUUGGAGUAGAAGCCAAAUUUGAUGAAUUGUGUCUUGAUCUUUUAUGACGGCGCCUUGGUGUCUGAGGUUGUAUAGUCAAAUUAUCUUCUGAAGAUUCACUAUCAUCUUGUAAAUCAAAAUUUUCAUCCUUAGAGUUAACUUUGGAACUGCUUUCUUUGCUUUCGACAUUUGGUAAAGGAUAUUUACGAGGGCGACCACGACCUCUAGAACCAGAUUUCUUUUUAGUUGGUCGCAAAUUUUCUUCCAUCUCAACCAAAAGAUCUUCUAUCCUUUCAAGAUUAUGAGCAUAAUAAGACCAAUCGAGAGGUUCUGUGUAUUUGUUCACUUUCAAGUGUACACCGCGUCGGAUAAAGAAGUUACAAGGAAACAAAUCUUUUCGUUUUGUAGGAAUUCCAGCGGGAAAUUUUGAAAAAAACUCUGCUUCAGAGUAGACAUUACAAUGCUCUAUUAUACAUGAAGUCAGGUUUUCAUCCCGGCCACAAGAAACGUACACCUCAUUUAUAUGCCGGUCUGGCAACAAAUAUUCAGGUUUAAUUUCCAUUCUCUUAGCAUAAGCUCGACUAUACCAAAUUGCUUCAACAUAUUUCUUUCCAGAAUGCUUAUCAAUUGCUUUUUCGUACAAUUUACAAAUUACCCCCAGAUAAAAGCUUGAGUCUCCAUCAUGUACAGUAAUAUCAUCUCCAACGCGAUAUAUUACAUCGUUUUUCUUUAAAGAUCUGUAAUAAGAACGUCCAGCCUCUUUUUGAAAGGGCUCUUCAGUCCAAACACCGUAAACUUCCUCUUCGUCAAUAUCAGAACUGUCAGCGCUGUCAUCAGAUAGCAGACUUUUAUCAAUGCCGUUAAUUAAUAGUUGACUCCUCAAUGACUUUCUUCUAGGCAUAUUAAGAGAAGUUCAAC